CACCUUCACCUCUGGGCCCAGACGUAAGCCCCCCAACCUGGCUGGGCCUGGGGGCUGGAGUUCACCCCCGGGAGGGCCUAGCUGGGCGGGAACCAGGAAGCCCAGUGCCUCCCUGCCCAUGGGGUACCCCCUCCCCGUGAACAGUCUGACCCGGGCUUUUCAUUUCGCAGCUGCAGCUGCCGGCACACCCCUGCCUCAUCUGGCUUUGUUGUGCUUUGUUUCAGGAAGGAAACAAAGCAGCCGUCCUCACCCCUCACCCCCACUUCUAUUCCCAGUCAAGGUCACAGGCUCUUCCUCUCCUCCUGGGGCCAGUGCUAGCCACUACCCGUCAGGGUUUAGAGAGCAAUCUUCCGAGCUUUCAACGGCUCCGUGAAAGUGGUUGUUUGGGGAACCAUUGCUGAGCGGGACAGGGGAGAUGCCCCAAAACUCGGAUUGACUAUCUGAAGUCAAGUAGGUACUUGAGAAUUCCUGGGAAGAAUUGAGGACCUAUCCAGUGUCACCGUGGGGACCACCUUUUGCAAACGUGACUGGUUCAUUAAAUGAGCCGCACUGCGUGGCUGGCAAGCAAGAAGCAACUUUAUUUUUUCUUCCAUCGUCCCAUUCAAACCCAUUCUGUCAGACCCGCCUUCUCCACUGGACCAGGUUCCACUCCUGCGCGACCUUCACCCGGAUACUGAAAACAAGCACCGCUCCCGUGCUCACAGUUCUGCGGGUUAGCAACUUGGGCGGGGCCCUGAGAAGAGGUUUUGGGCCCGCCCCACCUGGGGUCCUUCAUGCCACUGCCGUCUUGUGGCUUUGGGGCUCAACAGGGCCUGGACGGUCCCAGCUGGCCCCGUUCACAAGUCUGGUGGUUGGUGCCAGCUGUCGGCCUGGCCCCUCCUCUCCUACUCCAGCUUUCCUGAGGCUUUAUUCACGUGGCCUGUGAAAGCGGCCUCUCCUCAGCCUCUGCAUCUCCAAGUUCCCACUGUCACCGUCAGUCAAAUGACCGACCGACUUUCUCAGUUCCAAAUUCCCAGAGGAGAACAUUGGACGGUCUAAGCUCAAGGUGGCGCCGAGGCCCUGGAACUGAAGCCCAGCAAUUGCCUCCUUAACUGGAAUUCAGAAAUGCAGCCACUCUGCCUCGGUUUGACAGAGAAAGUGGUCUCUGUGCAAUGUGAUGGAUGGUGAGAGGCGUCCCAGGCUAAGAAGAGCCUCCUUUUCUGCUCACAACCACCUGAAAGUCAAUAUAUAGGUGACACAGGGCCGGGCCUCACUCCAGACCAAUAGAAUCUGUGCAAGUGGGCCCCGACCUGACCCCAGUGUGUGCCCAGGUCUGCUUCUCUAGGGUCUUGUCCUUCGUCACCUUAAAGACCAGCUCACCACCAAGCCAGAAGCAUUUACAACGUUGGGAGUGGAGAGGAGGGAGUGUCUGAGCCAAGUGGACACAGAUGCUCCAGGACUAGGAUAGAAUGUUUCUAACUUCUUUCCUGUAAUAAUGUGUGACCAGCCUCUUAACGUGGGGGCGGAGGGG